rnacentral:rRNA from 1 species
AUUGCCCGCUAGCGGGAUGCCUUACACAUGCAAGUCGAACGGAGUGGCGAACGGGUGAGUAAUGUAUCGGAACGUGCCCAGUAGCGGGGGAUAACUACGCGAAAGCGUAGCUAAUACCGCAUACUAUGGGAGCGGCCGAUAUCGGAUUAGAUAGUUGGUGGGGUAACGGCUCUACAAGGCGACGAUCCGUAGCUGGGUUGAGAGGACGACCAGCCACACUGGGACUUAAGCACGGCCGUGACUCCUCCGGGAGGCAGCAGUGGGGAAUUUUGGACAAUGGGGGAAACCCUGAUCCAGCCGUCCCGCGUGUGCGAUGCAGACCUUCGGGUUUUAAAGCACUUUUGGCAGGAAAGCGGUACCUGCAGAAUAAGCACCGGCUAACUACGUGCCAGGCGCCGCGGUAAUUC